GCAGCAGCCGCGGGAACACGGAGGGUGCAAGCGUUAUCCGGAUUCACUGGGUUUAAAGGGUGCGUAGGCGGAUCUGUAAGUCAGUGGUGAAAUCUCCAGGCUUAACCUGGAAACUGCCGUUGAUACUAUAGGUCUUGAAUUUUGUGGAGGUUAGCGGAAUAUGUCAUGUAGCGGUGAAAUGCAUAGAUAUGACAUAGAACACCAAUUGCGAAGGCAGCUGGCUACACAACUAUUGACGCUGAGGCACGAAAGCGUGGGGAUCAAACAGGAUUAGAUACCCGGGUAGUCCCUGUCUCUUAUAA
rnacentral:rRNA from 1 species